rnacentral:lncRNA from 1 species
AUAAUUCCUGGAUUUCAAAAAGCAAUACACUCAAAACAACGCCUCAAUAGAAAUUGUAGUACGAAAUGAAUGUGAUAAUAAACCCAUUUAAACGAGUUCGACUAGAGUACAUGGUCUAAUGAAUUGGCUGAAUAGAAAUCAAGGUGGCUUAACAUGAUACAAAACAAUAACAACUAUGAAAUGGGCCAAAGGCUUGUGAGUCAGAUGGACUUAAGUGGAUGAAAUCCAAAGUCCAAAUGGCCCGUAGAAAAUUGGAUGGGCCUGUAUGACUCCCUUGUGAGGUCCUUUUACAAUAUUUGGCUCAAUUUGAGCAUCAAAAGGCGUUAUUACAAAUUUGAAAUUUUUGACAACACAAAAAAAGCUUUGCAAAUCACACUCCAAACUUUAAUUACAGCUAAACAUAACAUUGAAUUAAAAUUGCUAACUAUAGAUUUAGAAACGUAGAGACUCAGCUUUUAAUUUUAAGGGAUUUGGACUUAGUCUACCUAAAUCCAAACUUAUUAAAAGAACAUUUGAUAGAUUGACUAAGAAAACGUGUCAGGCACAAUCAUUCAUUUACAACAAAAAAAGGGCUGGGUUCUGAUGAUUGCUCAUGUAUGGAUUCAAGGAUAAUUUCAACUGAAACAUCUAUUUAUUUACCAUCAAAUCUGAUAGAUUCAGCUAACAACCAAACUUAAACAUAGCCAAAUUCAACAUCUAACAACUGAAAUCACAACUUAACAGCUCAAAGAUUCAGCAUUACAUGAAAGCCUAUACACUAAAUACAUGUCCAUAUCCACUAAUAUGCAAAACAACACAUUGACUGACAAAAAAGGAGGCACAAGUUAAUCAGCUCAUGAAACACCAUUUACUGAAGAAAAACACUGAUUAGUGCAUCAGCCUCAACACACAUACAUCUUCAGAUUCAUUUUCAAUCCAAGGAUUCAAAAGGGGUACCUAGAUUCAGCAAACAAAAGGCACAUAUAUUCGAAAAUCAGCUAAUGGCAGCUAGAAAGCAACAGGUUCAGUAGCAAAGAAAACAGCAAUAACAAUCCACACACAGCUUCUAUAUCAAACCAUGCUUCAGCUUCAGAAACCAGCAAACCCAGAAGACAACAAAUCAUUAACAAAUGAAAUUAAACUAAUUGUUAAUCUAUUAUGAACUAAAAAUAGUUUUAGGCAUAAACUUGAUAUCAGGAGGGGUCAUGGAAAGAGGAAGAAAAGUAUACCGGCCAGUUUGCUAAAAAUUCCGAUGACCCGAAGAAAACCAAAAGCGAGUUGAUUACAAAUCCGGCGAAUAGAGGCCUUGGCUAAUUAUGGAAAUUGUAACAUGAUCAUUGGCCGGAAUUUCUUCAACGGCUAGUGCUUCAUGUUACAAUCCUCAACAUACGCCAAGAGGACGAUGAAGUAGAAGCUCUAAAUAUUUUGGGCCAUUGAUGGUUGCUCGCCCAGAAUCCGGCCACCAUGAACCCAGUUGGGACCAUAUCCAAUCGACUCCUCACAGUAAGGAUAGUCGAUUCAUGCAUGCUCCAACGUCAAGAAGAGGCCAGAUGAGGAAGGAAUUAGAAAAGGAAAAAAAAUGUUAGACUUUCUUUAAUCUCAGAUUUGAAAUUCGGAGAGGUUGGUAAUUUUUUGAGGAAGAUAAUGGUGGAUUUGGAAUGGGGGGACAAUGGAGGUUGUGUGGGCAAGAUUUGAUGGAGUUUGGAGACCAACCGCCGCCGCUGACGAUUUUCGGUGGGUGGCGAACGGCGAUGAGGUAUAAGGGUUAAAGGAGAUGAUGGACAGUGGUCCUAGGUUGUCUCUGAGGGUGUUCGGACAUUUUUAAGAAAAUGGAGUGAGGCUUUCAUGGCCGUUGGAUGAGAGAAG